rnacentral:rRNA from 1 species
GUCUACGGCCAUACCACCCUGAACGCUCCCGAUCUUGUCUGAUCUCAGAAGCUAAGCAGGGUCGGGCCUGGUUAGUAUUUGGAUGGGAGACAGAUUGUCAGUCAUUAGAUUCUCAUAAGGA